AGCCUACCUAGCACAUGUGGUGGACACUAGGCAUGUUAAGCCAGAUCUGUGUGACAUACCCACAGUAAGAGACUUUCCAGAUGUGUUCCCUGAAGAAUUGUCUGGCUUGCCACAAGAAAGGAAAGUCGAAUUUACUAUUGAGAUACUGCCGGAUAUAGCACCAAUUUCUAUUGCUCCUUAUAGGAUGGCACUUACUGAGUUAAAGGAGUUGAAAAUCAAGUUGCAGGAGUUACUGGGUAAGGGGUUCAUACGCUCCAGUGUGUCAUCAUGGGGAGCUCCAGUGCUGUUUG
rnacentral:misc_RNA from 1 species